CUAAAAGUCUUUUUGAAGACUACAAAGAUUAUAAAUAAAAUUCAU
rfam:Canis lupus familiaris chromosome 6, whole genome shotgun sequence.